GUCCAGCCUUUGCUUUCUGAGCUAUAAUCAUGCUGCUGAAAUUGCACCUUCUGAUAUAAGUGAGAAAAGGCAGCUCGCUCACCCUCCUGGCUGGAAGGUAAUCUAUGGAGAACAGAGCUCCUCCCUCUUGGCAAACUACACUGCCUUGCUGAUUUGUUGUGGUGCAUUGGUACACAGUUUGUGGUGAUGGAUUUGACAAAUGCUCUAUGGAGCCUUCCAAAUGAAACACAAGAGUCUACGUUUGCAGACGAGUUUAUAUGAUGAC